GGGUUAGAAAAGAGUAAGGCUAACGUAAGGCUGCAUUCAAUGGGAUUUUAAGGUUAUUAUUCUGCAUCUUUAUUAUGAGAAGCCCCGUUAAUUGUAUUAAUAGAACAACGGGAGGCCCAGGGCCUGCAAAACAGGCACAGGUGUAGGCAAAAAGGGCCUUUGCAAUUGUUCUAGUUAAGAAAAUUUGCAUUCCGAUGACUUUGAUCCACACAGCCUGUCCUAUCUUGGGAAACCCUGGCUUUUUCGCCCUCUUUGGGGUAACGUUUAUUUCCUCGUGUGCCUGCUAUCCCUGCCUUGACCACGGGAGGGCGAUGUUUUCUGUCCCAUACGAUUGGCACCGAGGCCAUCAUCGGCCUUUUUAACUCGGUUUAAGGCUUUUGGAAACGGGUUUCCUGCUUCCGUGCCUGUUCUGCAGCCCCGUCGCUCUGGUAUGAUUAACCGGGGGUAUGCAUUUGCCCGUGGCAGGUAGUCCUGCAGCCCUGCUCAGCCAAGCGUAGCGGCGGAGGGAACGAGCCAGCACAGGCAAGGACUUACUGGUAAGAGAGCCGCCUAGAGCGGCAGAGUGAGGCAAAGACGCCAGGCUCACUUCCGGUUGACCCGGAAGAGAAACGAGGAGGCGGUGCGGAGACAGCAGCAGCCUUGGGAACACGGUCAGGCAAGCAAGGCAGCAAGCAAGGAUGCAUGCCGGCAACCUUUGAGCCGCUCUACAACUGCUGACAUCCGUGCCCGCGGCAGCAAGCAACAGGCAAGAGACCAAGAAAUAUGCGGAUGUCAUUAUCCCUCAAGGUGUGGAUAAUAUGGGAGAAUCUACACAAAGGCUAUAGACGAUGAGGGGAAGGCUUCCUGUUAACAGUUUCCUGGGUUUGAAUUGCAAAUGGGAAAACAGCGAUCGCAACUGAAAGAUUACACCACUUGGACUGAUGCCAGGAUGACAAGAAGGCCAUCUUACCUUCCUGGUCUUCACCGUUGACACGCAACAAUCUCCAUCGUCAUAGUUGCAAAAGGCUCGGUUGUUGACCGGAUCACAAUAAUUGUCUCCCCCAAAAGGCUGGAAAAGAAAA